rnacentral:tRNA from 1 species
GCCUGGGUGGCUCAGUUGGUUAAGCGUCUGACUUCAGCUCAGGUCGUGAUCUCACGGUCCGUGGGUUCGAGCCCCGCGUCGGGCU